rnacentral:rRNA from 1 species
GAUGAACGCUGGCGGCGUGCCUAAUACAUGCAAGUCGAGCGAACAGACGAGGAGCUUGCUCCUCUGACGUUAGCGGCGGACGGGUGAGUAACACGUGGAUAACCUACCUAUAAGACUGGGAUAACUUCGGGAAACCGGAGCUAAUACCGGAUAAUAUAUUGAACCGCAUGGUUCAAUAGUGAAAGACGGUUUUGCUGUCACUUAUAGAUGGAUCCGCGCCGCAUUAGCUAGUUGGUAAGGUAACGGCUUACCAAGGCAACGAUGCGUAGCCGACCUGAGAGGGUGAUCGUCCACACUGGAACUGAGACACGGUCCAGACUCCUACGGGAGGCAGCAGUAGGGAAUCGUCCGCAAUGGGCGAAAGCUUGACGGAGCAACGCCGCGUGAGUGAUGAAGGUCUUCGGAUCGUAAAACUCUGUUAUUAGGGAAGAACAAAUGUGUAAGUAACUAUGCACGUCUUGACGGUACCUAAUCAGAAAGCCACGGCUAACUACGUG